rnacentral:rRNA from 1 species
AUUGAACGCUGGCGGCAUGCCUUACACAUGCAAGUCGAACGGCAGCACGGGAGCAAUCCUGGUGGCGAGUGGCGAACGGGUGAGUAAUAUAUCGGAACGUGCCCAGUCGUGGGGGAUAACGUAGCGAAAGCUACGCUAAUACCGCAUACGAUCUAUGGAUGAAAGCGGGGGAUCGCAAGACCUCGCGCGAUUGGAGCGGCCGAUAUCAGAUUAGGUAGUUGGUGAGGUAAAGGCUCGCCAAGCCGACCGAAUCUGUAGCUGGUCUGAGAGGACGACCAGCCACACUGGGACUGAGACACGG